rnacentral:rRNA from 1 species
GAACGCUGGCGGCGUGCUUAACACAUGCAAGUCGAACGGGAUUUAGUAGACAGAAGCUUCGGCGGAAGAUUACUAAUGAGAGUGGCGAACGGGUGAGUAACGCGUGAGCAACCUGCCUAUGGCAGUGGGAUAGCCUCGGGAAACCGGGAUUAAUACCGCAUAAAAUCGUAGAAACACAUGUUUUAACGGUCAAAGAUUUAUCGGUCAUAGAUGGGCUCGCGUCUGAUUAGCUAGUUGGUGAGAUAACAGCCCACCAAGGCGACGAUCAGUAGCCGGUCUGAGAGGAUGAACGGCCACAUUGGAACUGAGACACGGUCCAAACUCCUACGGGAGGCAGCAGUGGGGAAUAUUGCACAAUGGGGGAAACCCUGAUGCAGCGACGCCGCGUGAACGAAGAAGGUAUUCCGUAUCGUAAAGUUCUGUCCUAUGGGAAGAUAAUGACAGUACCAUAGAAGAAAGCUCCGGCUAAAUACGUGCCAGCAGCCGCGGUAAU